GCCAGAGAGAGAAGGGGGAGUAUAGUCUGUUACAUUAAUCAGAGUUAGCAGACAACACAUGGGCUUCCGUUAGCCCCACUAGACCACGCAUCACAACACACGGCUCGGCACGACAUGGCACGCCACGUCCGCUGCUUUAGUUCCCAACUGCGCUGAUGAGGUGACGCCGCCAAAGCAUAUGCUACCUGCACUCAGUGACGUCUGUGUAGACAGAUGAAGGACUGGAGCUGCUGCCAACGUGCUGCUUUCGCAACGCAGAUUGUGUGGAAACUAGAUCAAGUCUUUGAGUCAACACUUUCAACAGCAGUCAGGACUGAAGGUCCUAUGGUGACACAUCCAGUGAUCCAGGACUCCAAUGAAGGAGUCGACCCGUCUCAAGGAGGAUCAGAAGAAACGGACAGCAUGUGAGUUAAAUAUGAGAGUCACAGCAAAGGGUCUGAAUACUUAUGACCAUGUGUGUUUUAAUUUUUUUAUAAAUUUGCACAAAUUUCUACAUUUCUGUUUUUUUCUGUCAAGAUGGGGUGCUGAGUGAACAUUAAUGAGAAAUAAAAUGAACUUUUUUUGAUUUUAGCAAAUGGCUGCAAUGAAACGAGUGAAAAAUGUUAAGGGGUCUGAAUACUUUCUGUACCCACUGUAUAUACAUAAAAACUAGGGCUGUCAAUCGAUUAAAAAAAAUUAACUAAUUAAUCGCACAUUUUGAAAUUGCGAUUAAUUAAUCGCGAUUAAUCGCGAUUAAUUGCGAUUAAUCGCAAUUAAAAGUUAAAAGUUAAAAGUUCAUUCUUUUUAAAGACCAAACUUCACACAGAGCUGUGUUUUCAAAGAGGCUCCUACAUAUAAAGUGCCAGCGAGGUAUUUAAUAUCGUGGAUGAUCAAUUGUUUCUUCAGUGAAACAUCAGAUUAGUAAAAAAAAAAAAGUAUAUUGAGACCCCAUUGGUCCUGUCAUCUUAAACAUUGAACACAGCAGAACCAGUGGCCUUGGUAACUGACUGACAUUCAAAUAUGUCACGUUAACCCUCUGGAGGCUGGGCUCAUUUUAUACAUUUUACAAAAAAAAUUAAAAUCACCGUUUAACCCUUGUGUUACCUUCGGGUCAU